rnacentral:rRNA from 1 species
UACGUAGGGGGCGAGCGUUGUCCGGAAUUAUUGGGCGUAAAGAGCGUGUAGGCGGUUCGGUAAGUCUGCCGUGAAAACCUGGGGCUCAACCCUGGGCGUGCGGUGGAUACUGCCGGGCUAGAGGGUGGUAGAGGCGAGUGGAAUUCCCGGUGUAGCGGUGAAAUGCGCAGAUAUCGGGAGGAACACCUGUGGCGAAGACGGCUUUCUGGGCCUUACCUGACGCUGAGACGCGAAAGCGUGGGGAGCGAACCGG